AUUAGAAUUAUUUGAUCAAAAUAAGAGAAAGGUUUUUAAGUGAAAAUAGAUGUAAAAUUUUAAAUAGGGGGUUGGUUUAAAAAAUUACGGGGGGUAUUUUCAGUAUUUAGAAUUAAAUAGGUUAUUGGGGGGUAACUUUAGUUAAUUUAAUAAUACAAUGGGAGUAAAAUGAUGUGCCAGCAUUCGCGGUUAUACAUCAUCCUUAAGCUUUUAUUUUUAAUUGGGAGAUUAAUAUGGUAGUUAAUUAGAUUUAUUUUAAUGGGGGUGAAAUAAAUUAAAAUUAGUUAUAUAUAUGAAUUCUUCAUAAUUUUGGGUUUAAACUAGGAUUAGAUACCCUAUUAUUUAAAUUUAAUUAAACUUCUUUUUAGGAUUUUAGUUACAUAAAAAAUUAAAUUGAUUUGGCGGUUUAUUAAACUUUUUAGAGGAACCUGUAGGUUAAAUUGAUAAACCACGAUUUUUCUUACUUAAAUUUUCUUGUAUAUCUCUAUAAUUGAAUAUAUUUUGAGAUAAAUUUUCUUUUUUAAAAAUUUUAAAUUAAUUUAGGUCAAGGUGCAGUUAUGUUUAAGGUAUAAUGGGUUACAUUAAUUUUUGUUUGUAGAAAAUUAGUUAAAUUAAUUUUUAAACUGGAUUUAAAAGUAAUUAAUUUAAUUAAAAUUUUUGAAUUAUGCUCUGAUUUAUGUACAUAUCGCCCGUCAUUCUCAUUUAUUGAGACAAGUCGUAACAAAGUAGAUGUAUUGGAAAGUGUAUCUA
rnacentral:ncRNA from 1 species